AUACGGAGGAUGCGAGCGUUAUCCGGAUUUAUUGGGUUUAAAGGGAGCGUAGGUGGGAUAUUAAGUCAGCUGUGAAAGUUUGGGGCUCAACCUUAAAAUUGCAGUUGAUACUGGUUUCCUUGAGUACGGUACAGGUGGGCGGAAUUCGUGGUGUAGCGGUGAAAUGCUUAGAUAUCACGAAGAACUCCGAUCGCGAAGGCAGCUCACCAGGCCGGAACUGACACUGAUGCUCGAAAGUGCGGGUAUCAAACAGGAUUAGAUACCCUGGUAGUCCGCACAGUAAACGAUGAAUACUCGCUGUUUGCGAUACACGGUAAGCGGCCAAGCGAAAGCGUUAAGUAUUCCACCUGGGGAGUACGCCGGCAACGGUGAAACUCAAAUGAAUUGACGGGG
rnacentral:rRNA from 1 species